UACGGAGGGUGCGAGCGUUGUUCGGAAUUACUGGGCGUAAAGGGCGCGUAGGCGGCUUAACAAGUCACUUGUGAAAUCUCCGGGCUUAACUCGGAACGGCCAAGUGAAACUGUCAAGCUAGAGUGCAGAAGGGGCAAUCGGAAUUCUUGGUGUAGCGGUGAAAUGCGUAGAUAUCAAGAGGAACACCUGAGGUGAAGACGGGUUGCUGGGCUGACACUGACGCUGAGGCGCGAAAGCCAGGGGAGCAAACGGG
rnacentral:rRNA from 1 species